GUCGCCGACUACCAGGUUUCGACUCCGCCUUCCCAGUGGCGUUUUGGAGUCCGCUUAAAGGAGCAGCGUCGGGAGGGAUAGUGAGCGAGAACUACUGUAAUGCGCAGGAACCGGUACUUUUGGCUUUGCAGAGAGAGGAGAAGCCGGAAAUAAAAUGACGAAGGGUCAGAGAUUCAGGAGGAAUAGAAUUUGGAGGGAACGCAACCAUUCAACAAGUACUAAUUGAGCGCUGUUCUAGGCACAGAGGGUAAAGCCAUAGACAAGCAAACGCACUCGUGGAGUUUGCAUACUAACGGGGUGGGAGAGGGGAAAGGAACAAAUGACAAAAAUUUCAGGUAGUGGUAAGGGGUGUGAGAAAAAUAAAGUAGGGGAUAGAGUGAAAUUAUAAGCUGCCUCACAGAGGAGACCUUUGUGCCCAUACGUGGGUGAUAUGAAGGAAUGAAACUAGGAAGUUAAGGGAUAGAGAAGAGGAACGGCUUUCCAGGCUGAAAGAAAAACUGCCAUAAACCUAGAGAUGUGGAUGCCCCUGCCGUGUUGAGAAACAGCAAAAGGCCAGUAUGGCUGAGCAUUGUCAGCCUGCCAGAGAGCAGGAAUAGUUAGGCUCAAAAGGUGGGCAAGUAGCCAGAUCCUGUGGAGCCUAUGGGUCAUUAUAAGAGCAACAGGAAGGUCUGGGAGGAGGGUGAGUCCAGGAAUGACUACAUCUGAUUCAUGUUUUUAAAAGUCUUGCUGUGUGUGUGUGUGUGUGAGAGAGAGAAGUACACAAUGGAGAAUCACAAAGGCCCACAGGAGACCAGCAAGGAGGCUUUUCUUGUUAGCUUGAGCUAGGAUGGCAGCAGAGUACAAGUGAAUCUUGAGAUUAGCACAGAAAAUGAGCAAACAUUUAGGAUCUCUUUUGGCAACUUGGCGUUACUGUGACAUCUCAGCAAGUGAUCAGUGGUCUUGUCUCAUUGAACCUGGAGACAGAAAGAAGACCAGAGAGGAACACCAGAGGAAGCUUAAAGAAAGAUCCGAGCCUGGGAUUUAUGCUACUUUAUAUGGCUGAGCUAAAACUCCUUACUCUGUCCACAUCUGCUUCUGGAUGAGAACCAAUUACUUCCAAACAAUGAUACAACCUAAGGGGAAUGCAAGAAAGGACUCCAUCCAUCUUCCCCAUCUUCAGGGCCAUGUGUGUGUCUGUGUGUGUGUGUGUGUGUGUGUGUGUACUGGGGCAGGGGUGGAGGGCAGUAGUGAGGAGGAGGAAAGGCCAGAAAAGGAGUUGGAAAAAUAUUUUUCUUCUUUUGAUAAUUCGUUAAGUUGAAUACCAAACUGUGCAGAAAAAAAAAAAAAGCAGUUUGACUCCAGAACUUGGAAAACACACUUCCAGUAAAUUUACAAUAUUAAUUUUGCGCUGAGAGAGCAAAUCCCAAAUUCAAACCAGAUUCACAAAUUAUGAUCUCACUUUUUCCAGAGUUUCUACUGAUUAGGCUUGUUAUAGAUUAACUAGAGGUAGAAUGUAUUAAAGGGAAAGAAGAGAGAAAAAGAGAAUACCUAAACUCAGAGAAUAAAAUUUCCUGUGUUUGCUUUUUCUGCUAAUAAAUGAGACUCAAGCAAAAGAGUAUGUAUUUUCUAAGGAGAAGUGAGGGUGAAUGUGUGAGCAUUUUACAGAGGGGAUUACCAAGGGAGUCAAUCAUUUUGAGCUGGAAAGCCGUAAAGAGGGCCAGUUGUCUCAAGACAGUGCAGGGAUGAGGGUGAAUUUGGGGGUGGGGGGUCGUGGACAGACCCAGUGGUUGUAGAAUGAGCUGGGAAGAGUGUUUUUCUUUUUCUUUUUAUUUAUUUUUUGGUACAGGGAUUGAACUCAGGGGCACUCAGCCACUAAGCCAAUCCCCAGUCCUAUUUUAUAUUUUAUUUAGAGACAGUAUCUCACUGAGUUGCUUAGCACCUCACUUUUGCUGAGGCUGGCUUUGAACUUGCGAUCCUCCUGCCUUGGCCUCCCCAGCCACUGGGAUUACAGGCGUGUGCCACAGCACCCAGCUGGGAAGACUAUUUUGAAAGAUAAUUAAUAUACAUAUUGAGUAUCAGUUGUAUGUUCAAUAGCUUAAUAUGUUCAGGGGAUACAAUGAACAUAAAGCCAAGUGCCAGCAUUCUAAUUUAGAAGACAGCAAUCUGUGGGUUUAAGAGAAGAUAGAAUGAAGGCUCUGUAACCAAAGGAUUAAGAAGACUUUGACUAACA